GGCUGUGGCGUCGGCGACCUCAUUACCGCGAACACCAGAGUGGGAGAGGACGCUUAUUUUGGUUGCCUAUUUUGCUUCGUAUCGCUUAUAGGCUGCCUCCUCCUGGAACUUUCAAAUGUUUUCCUCGCACUUCGUCUUUCUUUUUUUUUUUACCACCUGUGGCCUGGAAAAUACGUAGUACAGAGCAGUACACGACACUUGGACGCACCAGACAGGAUACACGACACUACUAGUGGACCCACUCCCCCAGCCGUGUCCUAGACACUGCAGUCACCAGGCUCAGUAUAGGACAGCCGCCUCAGUGCCCACAUGCACAGGCUAAGCCUGACGGACACAGCUCACUGCUCCUGGUACCCCAUGCAGCCAGACACUCCAGAACAUCUGCUGCUACACUGCCUCCACCACCACUCACACUGCACUGCUCUCCACUCACUGGCAUCACUCCACAUCCACAGGUCAUCAUUAGCAGACCUCUGGUCUAGCCUUCAGGAUGCUCAUGCACACCAUGGUAUUGCUCCAUAAGACUGGACAGCUUACCGGAAUCUAACCAGAUAACCUGCCUGCUACCAGGACCUUCAGGGCAUUAGAGACUAUGACACCACAGCCUGCAAGGUCUCCAAAUCCCCAACAAAACAAGACUUACCUGGUGGGCUUCCCAAACCCCAACCAACCCUGGAGGGGGUCCACGGAAGCCACACAUUGCUGAUGCGCCAGUCCAAGUUAUUAAGAAUGUACAAAGCAAGUAAAGCACUAAGAUGUAAUGACUGGAAAGUGCAUCAUAGCAGCUAAGAGAGAUAGACACAUGAAUAUCCAGUGAGACAUGGUAAGGAGGAUGAGGACAGAGUUAUGGAUAUAAGUUGCUAAUAAUCAUAUAGCAGAUCUCCAAGGUGACAAGACAAAGCUAAUUUAAAUAAUGCCAAAGUUGUGACAAAUGCAGCAGAGUUGGAUAAACCAUUCCAAAUUGAUAUUCAUCUUAAACUGAAAUAGUGUUUGGGUAUUUUAAGACUGGACUGUGUGUGGGCAAUUUUCAGGUGGUGCCCUCUCGUGUCUGGAUAAGGUGGGCAAGGAAAAAAAAAAAUUUGGGGUAGGGGGAAAAGACCAUGAAAAAUUUUCCAGUAAUAAAUUAGGUCAUGUCUCAGUAGUCUUCCCUUGACAAAGAAUAAUUUUAGAAUCUUAAAUCUCAUAGUAGAGUUAAGGUUUUCAAGUCCACAAGUUUUCCUCUGUAUACAAGCUAAAUAAAGUGGGUGAUAAUAUACAUCCUUG